AGUGAACGCUGGCGGUAGGCCUAACACAUGCAAGUCGAACGGCAGCACAGUAAGAGCUUGCUCUUACGGGUGGCGAGUGGCGGACGGGUGAGGAAUACAUCGGAAUCUACUUUUUCGUGGGGGAUAACGUAGGGAAACUUACGCUAAUACCGCAUACGACCUACGGGUGAAAGCAGGGGAUCUUCGGACCUUGCGCGAUUGAAUGAGCCGAUGUCGGAUUAGCUAGUUGGCGGGGUAAAGGCCCACCAAGGCGACGAUCCGUAGCUGGUCUGAGAGGAUGAUCAGCCACACUGGAACUGAGACACGGUCCAGACUCCUAGGGGAGGCAGCAGUGGGGAAUAUUGGACAAUGGGCGCAAGCCUGAUCCAGCCAUACCGCGUGGGUGAAGAAGGCCUUCGGGUUGUAAAGCCCUUUUGUUGGGAAAGAAAAGCAGCAGGUUAAUACCCCGCUGUUCUGACGGUACCCAAAGAAGAAGCACCGGCUACCUUCGU
rnacentral:rRNA from 1 species